rnacentral:lncRNA from 1 species
AUGGAUGACUGCGAGAGUGACCGUGAGAGAGAGUAGGCAAACGUGGGUGUGAGAAUAUGGCUAAUUAUCUCCAGGCAAAUUUGAGCACAAGGUCCAAGAGAAUCAUAGCCCCUAUCAAGCUUCAAGCAAGCUGGUGGUGGCGAUGGAGAAUCUCCCCACCGAAUAUCACAUCCAUCUUCAGUAUUUUGCUAGCUGGUGCAUGG